AUCCCCCCGAAUCACACCUCCAAUUUCAUCUCUCAUAAGUUAAAAUUAGCUUAUAUAUAAGUUAAAAAUGAGCUUUUAGAGAAGCUAGUAUGGGAGAAGUUAAUUUCAUUUUUUACUAGUUAGUUUCUUCUCUCGUAAGUGCUUGUGAGAAAUUUAUUCAAACAGGACCUAAAGUAUAGACUCCAUAGAGGAAGCACAAGUUAAGUUAAUCAUAUAUGAGCUCAUCAGCACCAACUGAGGGAGCAAACUGGAGCACAACAUAACCUUCCUUGGACACUUUGAACGCCCCAGACUACAAAACAAACACCAGAACCUUCCAUAACCAAACAUUAAAUCUACAAUUCCAACACACAAAACAGAAAAGAAAAAUUAGAAAUUCAUAGCAAACACUUUUCGAUUCAAGUUCUGGACUUUAUAAUACCGCUAAAUGCAUAAUAAACUCAUUUUUUUCUAGCAAUGAUGACAUAGCCAUGACCUGGUGAUUUUUUCUAACAAAACUCAUUUUUUUGUUGUGGUAUUUUGAGAGGAAUUAAACCAAUUCAAAGUAAAAACGCAAGCUCCUUGAAAGUAGUCACAGAAGCUCCACCUACAAACAUGGUGUUACCCAGCGGCAAAGAACGAUGACGAUUUUUUUAUGUGUAAUUUCUCUCUUCACUCUUGGUGUUUUUGUUGGGUUGUUUUGUUCUUCAUCGGAGGCGUCGUUGUCGGUGAUUAUGAUCCAAAAGAGCUUCCUUUGGUUUUUGAUCUUAGUUUUGCAUAGUGGGUUAUCGUCAAAAUGGAAACUUGGGAUUGUGAGGUUGCUCGAUCCAUUGAAGAUUAAGGGUUUGAGCAAGGGAAUGGAAUAAGAAGUGUGGAGGAAGAACGGAAUUGGGACUUGGGAGCGGAGGGAGGGAGAACGUUCACGGAAGCCGCAGUGUAAGGGUAAGAUUGGAAAGAGAGAAAAAGUAUUCAAUACUUUAUAGUUAAAUAGUUGACUCGUGUCAUUUUAAUUUCUUAAUAAUCAAUACCCUAAGCAAAACCCUUAUUUUAAUCUAUAAUUAAUUAAUGCUACUUUAAAUUGUGAACUUUCUCUCUUCUAUAAAGAUAAAGAUUGAAAAAGAUGAAUAUAGAAAGUUCACUUUAAUGUUAAAGAUAAAUUUUGAUGCUAAAACUUAAAUAGCUUAAAUAUAUUUAAAGUUUGUGAUAAAUGAUUAAAAUUUUAUAUAAAUUUCUAAUAAAUUUUUUCAUUAGUAUAAGUCUUUCAUGCAUGAAAAUUUUUAUUUUAAGUUUUUGUUAUUAAUUAAGUGAUAACAUAUUAUUUUAUAAAUUAAUUUUUUUAAUAUUUUUAGUGAUUCUAAUAGAUGUCAUGUCAUUACUUAAUUAAUAAUAUAAAUUUAAAAUAAAAAAUUUAAAUAUUAAAAAUUCAAAAAAAUAUUAAAAAUCUAUAAUAAAAUUUGAUUAUUUAUUAAAAAUUCAAAAAAAUAUUAAAAAUCUAUAAUAAAAUUUGAUUAUUUAUUAAAAAUCUAAAAUAUAUUUACAUCUACUUAAAUUAACUAAUUUUUAAUUCACUGUGUCUUAUUAUGGAUGGGGAAGAAAGAAGUAUAUAUAAGGUCCAUGAAGAUACGAUGGCUGCAGCUACGAACAUGACUAUUAGUAUAGUAUACGCCAUUUUCUUUCUCAUUUAAUUAAUUUGUUGGUUCACACGUGGUGCCGCUGGCAUAUUUUCCACACGCUAUUUUUGGUUCCGACCAGCACGGAACACUACUUCUGAUAUGAUAUGAUGCAUGCGACACUCCAUUAUGCUCGUUCGUUCGUUUCGUCCGAGUUUACGGACAUUAUUUUUUCACUAUUCAUUUUUCAUUUAAUGGGACGUAAAUAAAUGCUACUAAUCUGGGAUUAUUAUUAUUAUUAUUUUGAAUUCUACCUUAAAAGUGACAACAACACUCUAGUCCAUUCUUUAUUAAUAAUUUUUAGUUGGAGUACAAAGCCAAUGUAACUACCUUCAUUCCUCCUCCUCCUCUUCUUCUUCUUCUCAUUUGCUUGCAUAGCAAAACAAACCAUGUCCACCGUUGCAUU
rnacentral:lncRNA from 1 species